rnacentral:rRNA from 1 species
GACGAACGCUGGCGGCGUGCUUAACACAUGCAAGUCGAACGGAAAGGCCCCUUUGGGGGUCCUCGAGUGGCGAACGGGUGAGUAACACGUGAGUAACCUGCCCUUGACUUCGGGAUAACUUCAGGAAACUGGGGCUAAUACCGGAUAGGAAUCCUUGCUGCAUGGUGGGGGUUGGAAAGCUUCGGCGGUUUUGGAUGGACUCGCGGCUUAUCAGCUUGUUGGUGGGGUAGUGGCUUACCAAGGCUUUGACGGGUAGCCGGCCUGGGAGGGCGACCGGCCACAUUGGGACUGAGAUACGGCCCAGACUCCUACGGGAGGCAGCAGUGGGGAAUAUUGCACAAGGGGCGGCAGCCUGAUGCAGCAACGCCGCGUGCGGGAUGACGGCCUUCGGGUUGUAAACCGCUUUCAGCAGGGGCGAAGCUUGUGGUGACGGUACCUGCAGAAGAAGCACCGGCUAACUACGUG